rnacentral:lncRNA from 1 species
UUUUUUUUUUUUUUUGGUUGGGUGCCUUAAAACCAUGGGCUGUCUCUUUUCACUGGGAUCUGCCAUGGGGAGUAUAGAGAAGGCAUUCAGCUAUAGAACCUCAUCUAAUCUCCUGUACAAAGCCUCUCUGUGCUCCCAGCCACGGCCACCAAGCCAAGGUAGCUGCCUGGCAACAAGCCAAGGACUCCUACCCGAGGGAUCCAGCCUGAGCUCCCUUCUUUUACCCCUCGGUCCCAGGCUAGAUCCAGCCCGUGGCCUCUACUCUCUUCUCAUCUCUUCCCUAGCUUCCAGUGACGCCUGGGUGCCCAAGAGCCUGAGAAACAGAUGGCCCUGGCUCCCCUGCAGGCCUGGGGACCCCUGAGCAAGCUCCGGCCUUCCUGGGGACCUCAGACACCACCCCACUAGCGGUGUCCCAUGGCUUUCCAUAGCCUGACACCUGCCCAGUGCUGGCGUGUGCUAAACACAGUCCAAACUCCCCGAGUGUCUGGAGCCCUGUGGUGGAGCAGACACAGGACCCCAUUAACCCUACAUCCCCCCUCUAGGAUUUUUGAUAAGGGGUUACCCCACUUGUCUGUUGGAGGCACAGGCUUCCUUUUGGAAUUACUUUGGUCUUUGCAAUUCCUUUCAAAAUUUUCUUGCUCACCACAAUCAACACAUUUGUGUGUUUGGAUUGUUUCAAAGCCCUUAAUGACAACCAUAUUAAGACCACAUUAGGUGAAUGUAUCUAAUAUCAACUGGAUUCCUAAUCCAUUCAUUGAUUGAUGCUGUCCUUGCCCUUAAUGGUCUGUUACUUCUUUGCAUUCAUCAUUGGCAUUUUUCUAAAGCUAGAGAUUCAGUUAGUGCCUUUCUUGCUAAUGGAUCUGAUAUAUGUCUCUCCACAGUUGAAAUCUAUCUUUGUAGAAAUCAUCGAAUGUUUUUUUUUCUUUAGACUUUCCAACACCUGAAAAAUGGUUUAAGACUUUUUCCUGUUUCCUCAACCCAGUCCCAGGCAUUUAAGGCUGCCACAUGAAAUAAUGUCAAGGUUUCUCAUCAUAUUCAGCCUGUAUAUCUGCUUUAGGACAAUGACCUCACCAAGUAGAUGAUCCCUAGGAGUGCUGAUGCCUCUGAAUUUAAUUUCUCAUGCUAUCUUCUUAGCCUCUCCUCUCCACCAUGAAACCCCUUCUAAAUAUGGGUCAUGUUUUGAUAAUGGUCUGGCCAUUCCUUUCCAGUCUUGGAGGAUUAUUCUAUUUUUGACUACCCAAGAAGUCAGUAUUUGUUUUACAAAUGGGGAAUGCAAAAUUAGUGAUAGUUUCUUUAAAAUUUCUCAAUUCUAACAUAUCCAGGUUGCCAUCAAAUUCCUGAAAAUUUCGUGGAUGAUUAUCAUCUGCUGGUCUUUGUUGAAUAAAGUUUGUUUUUUAACU